rnacentral:misc_RNA from 1 species
UACUUUAUUAAUGGUCAGAACCCUUGAUAGUUGGUGGAGGCAUGCUGAUCCAUAAUAUUUGGAAGCUUUUAUUACCUAGUAGAAGUUGCAGCACUGUGGCACAACAAUGAGUGAAAAACAAACAAUGAAUAAAUAAGACUUUUUCUUCCCUUUUUCAUUUAAAGAUGAGAGAAAUUGGAAAGAGAUUAGCUCUCUAGUCAGGUAAGAAAGUGAAGGUGAAAAGUAAACAAUGAAUAGGACUUGCCUGUUUCAUAUGAAGUUCAAAGUAAGGGAGAUAUGGUCGUGUAGAUAAUAGAAUUAUGAGAUAUUGCUUCUAAUAUAAGAAUUUGAGAGAGAGAGAGAGA